rnacentral:misc_RNA from 1 species
CUGUCCCCGACAGGAGGGGGAAAAUGCUCAGUCUGCAAGGGGGGAGGUGGUGUCUGCAAGUAGGUCGCUACCAGACAUUAUUAAUCACAUCAGUAGCCAUUUUCAUCCUUAACAAAGGAUGACUUUGUCAUCAUAGAACCUACUGCCACGUGGUUUAUUCGUCUAAAUCAACUGAUACGCGGCUGGGGUUUCGGUAGAAAGUGUGUCUUCGACUGUCUGCAUGCGACUGCAGUGGGCGCACAACGCCUCCAUUUUGGAUUUUCCUUCCACCAUGGUCGGGGGGUGACAGUGCAUUCCAAUAUCCUCCGUUUGUCGUGUUGCCUUCUCUGCUAAAACAAGUUUAGCCUCCGCCAAGAAAAAGAACAGAAUGGCAGAGGAGGCUGGUGCCAUUGUUGUUCGUAAGGAUGUAAUGGACAGAUUCCACACAAUCAUGGCUGAAACAAAACUUGAAGCUAAUGAGCUGAUGGAGCACUUUUUUGGGCUUUAUCACUGCUGUGUUAAGCUGGUACAACCUUUUCAAAGAGACCAGGCAAAUUCCGGUCUUGGGCCAAACAACAUUAGCAUUAAAAAUGAGCUGCCUGACCCUCAGUGUUCAGAAGAACGAAUGCAGGGAGAUAAUGAGACAGAUGGAGAAAUAGCCUUCAUGGGCUGUAGUGUUGACCAGAACAAGCAGAGUAAACGUCCACGAGAUGGGGACGGCCCAUCGGGUUCUACCAGUACUGGUAGCAAUACUACAGGGAGCUUUUUAUCCUCUCUUACAUCCUUAACCAACCAAGGAACCAUGCCAGACCCAGUCUUGGCAUUCCAAUCACUACUGGCGCUGUACCGUCGAGAUGAUGUCACACCAAAUCGUCGUAAAAAUGCCCCCAAACGGAUCACCCAGACCAACUAUAAUCCUACUCCUUGUGAUACCAAGCCUGAGGAUGUUUUGAAGAAGGUUAUGUGUUCGCUGUGUCAAGCUACUUUUGACCGCUUCACUGACCUUUUGGCUCAUCACAAGAACACACACAAUUCUGACCUCUCACAUCCCUUGAGGUGCCGUGCAUGUGGUCGCACACAGACCUCAGAGGCGGGACUUGUCCAUCAUCAGAUUUAUGUGUGCAAGAUGGUGGAGAGACCAUUCACGUGUGAGGUGUGCACACUCAAGUUCCAGAGUGAAGAGAUGGUGUGGGUUCACAAGUGUAGUGGUGAUGCUCGGAAACGAUUCGCUUGUGAGUUCUGUGACCACUACAAGACAGAAUCAGCCUCUGAUCUGGAAAAACACAUGCGAAUCCAUACAGGAGACAAGUGUUUUAGGUGCGAGACAUGUGGAUUUCAGACAGCCUGGAAAAAGAAUCUGAAGGAACACAUGUUGAAGCAUUCUGGCCUGAAGCCGUACAUUUGUGACUAUUGUGGCUACAGUACAGCUGACAAGCACAACCUUCGUGCUCACCGUCUCAAACAUGGGAAAGAGGAAGGGUUCGACUGUUCUGUCUGUGGGCUUACUUUCAGCUGCUACAGGUCCCUCCGUCUGCACAAAGAUACGCACAACAACACAGAUAAACCCUUCAAAUGCUCAGUUUGUGACUACCGUGCCAAGUACAAGUCAGUGCUGCACCUCCAUGAAGUGCGUCACAACCACAUGAGAAAGUCUGCUUGUGAUGUCUGUGGUCAGUGUUUUGCAUAUCACAAGGAGAUGAUAGACCACCGCAACCAGGCCCAUCCUGAUGUCGAGGUUGGAGAGAAAUCUGCUGCAGGAAGUAACGCAGGGAAUUCAGGCAGUGCCAAUGGUUCUGUUGGUGGUAGUGGUAGUGGUGGGGGGAAUGCUGACAAGACUCUGACAACAUUGGCCGACAUUUCACAAAGCGGGCCAAAUGCAUCCUCGCAUCCCACUCAGACAGUAGCUGCAACUCAGACCAAUACGUUACCCAUGGGUGCAUCAACACCAAACCCUCAGCAGCAGCAACAACAGGUGUCACUUCAGCAGCCACAGCAACAGCAAGGCCCGCACCAUGGACAGGGUCCUGCUUCAACCCCACAGCUUCAAGAUGCUGGAAUGGUGCAUGCACAGCAGCAACAGGGGUGGAAGGGAACCUGCCUAACCAGAGUCGAUUCCCUCACUCAGACCUGUGGGGGCCAGGGUUUGGUGGUUCCCUCCUCGCUAGCAGGUUUUCAGGUGCAGCAAGCUCCAGGCGCCCAGAAUGUCACCAUGCAGUCAUUUGGAGCUGGGGUUUUGUCCCCAUGGGCGGGAGGAAUGGGUGCCAACAUGCAUGACUUUUUUGGGGCCCGCAUGGCACUUGGACAGAAUCCAAACGACUCCUUGCUCAGACAGACAGCAGCUCUGAGUCAGGCAGGAACGCAAACUCUUCCACACCCAUCGACCUUUGUUGCCUGUCCUCUCCCAGUGUUUCCUGGUCUGAGUGAGCAGUUACCAGGGGGAAGUAACCGCUAGUCAGACGAGGUGGGAAUAAAUAGCAGCCAGUUUCCUGCAGGUGUGUCCUUUUCCCAGACAUAGCUGGAGUGGGUUUCAUUUCAGCCACAAUAGGCUUGGCUGUUCACACCAUGAUGGAAAUUGACCUUAUGUGAAUGGACCUUACCAACGCCCUUAUCUUAUAGAUCUCUUGUGAUGACAAAAGAGAUUCAGCAAGAUGUUCUUUGUCUUCCUUUUUUUUUUUUUAAAUAAAGACUUAGCACAUCUGGUUCUUAGCUUGUAAAUAUAUCUGCAUAGGCAGUGCUUUAAAAAGGAUUUCAUAAGCUGUCAAAACUUUUUAUGUAAUUUUUAUUGUGACCUUCACCUGUGUUAAGCACAUAAGCUGAAAAUAGCUAUGCACAAAUCUGUAGUCUGAACCUUGUUCAAGUUGUGGAUUUAUGUUUUUUACUAGUUGGGAUACCCAGUUUCAUGUGGGAUGAUUUCUGCCGCUAACUAUUCCAAGCUGUGAUGUUACAAUCAGCAUUUACUCUGUAGCGUCAUUUGAGUCCAAGCUUAUUCAUGUGCAGCAUCAGUGUAGAAAAAUAGCCAAACACUUCAUCUCUUGAUGUCCCUUCCAAAAAUUGGCUGCUCAUCUUUGGCAACAGGUGCACAACAUUUUGCAUGAAACCACCAGGCAGCUUGCUUUUUGCUCCCCCUCUGUCUCUCUGUGACUGUCAUUUACUAUCCUCCUUCUCUCUUUGCUUUCUGUCAUUGGUUUGGUUAUAAUAUUUAACAGUUUCUUCUGCUUAGCCUUAUUUCACCCGGAGUCAUUGGUAGCAUAUUUGAGAAAAUAGAUAUCAAAAAUAAACAUUCUGCAAGGUAACCAAUCAUAGUCAGCAACUGAACUAUAACUGAAAUGAAUAUUCCUGCCAGAUUAUGAAUUUGGUUUGACAAAUGGUGCCAUACUCAUAAACAUCACCGCACUGUUUUAUCUAUAAGAUUUUGUAACUUUAUUCUGACAUGCAAUACAUGACUUUCAUGACAAACAGAUAUCUCAGAAGGUGCAUGUGUUUUUCAAAGUGUCAUUUAAAAAAAGAAAUGGGACUUAAAUAAGACUGUUGUAAACUUCUAUUCAGGAUUCAGUAAUUUUGUCAUUUCACCCAUAGUGUAUAUUUCAGUCUCCUGUUCAUCAGAUAAAUAAUUUUGAUCCUUUAUUGCCAAAGCUACGAAAAGAUUGAUUUUUACAAGGAUACAUAGAAAACACAUUAGUCAUCAGUACACCUAAUUUCUUGUUAGUUUACUUUGCACCAGUUUUACAAAUGGAUUUAUUUAGGCUUUCCUUUCUUACAAGGAGUUUACUUUGUUUUGGUCACCUGCAUUGUUCAUUUAUCAGUCAUUUUCUUGACUGUUUGAUUGUCUGCUCAUUGUGUCUUUUAUUAAAAAUGGCCAGUAUUGUUUUUGUCAGGAGAACCUCAAAUCCUGAAUGAAUUAAUGGAUAAAAAAGAAGGAAGAACUGUCUGAUUUUCAUGUCACCAGCUCUAUGGUCAUGAACUGACAUGCAUGUUAAGGGCAGCAUAGAUCUUGAAUAACCAGCCAAACAUGUCUUCCCAAAUCCUUUAAUUAAAUGCUAUCAGUUCUUCAUUUUCUUGUCAUUUUUGCAGAAGACAUUUUUAGUGUUUAUGUAAAAGUAAAGAAGGUAGCAAAAUUAUCAGAGUUGGAAACAGAAAAAUUGAGAUGUUGAACUCAGAAGCUGCCGUAAAAGUUACUUCCUGUCAGGAUCAAAGCAGUUGUUGUAAAGGUUGAUUAUCUUCUUUGUUUACAAUUCCAUCAUACAAAAGAUUGUACAAUGUAUUUGUAGGCAGGAGAAAAGAAAGUAAUGCUUGGAGCAUUUUAGACAUCAGUGAUGAGAGUAAUGGAAGUCUUGACAACUUUAAUUUUCAUCCAUUCUCUUUAAGGAAUAUUUUUAACUAACAUUUUUUUGAACUCCCAUCUACUUGUUAUCUCACCAACCCCAACUUCUUUGCCGCACAUUGUGGCUGUACAGAUUUCCCCAAGUACUCCCACUCCUACCACCCUCCUGGCUAUGGAUCUUGUACCCUCACCUCUCACUUAAGAUUUGUGUUGGAUGAAUGGUGGUAAGAUAAUGAGCUGGGAAUGUACUCUUCUUGGUAGAAUUUUAUCUGAUCAUAUGCUUUUUGAGAUACUUUUGGAAAGAAAAGAUGUUUACAUUAUUUUGAGCAAUCCAAAUAUUGUUUAGGAAAUUGUGUAGAACUAAUUGACACAAAAUGUGUAAAAAUGAAUCAUACCUCCUGUUUUAGUGCUGUACACCAAACAGUGUACGUCUAAAUGAACAAAUAUGUGUCAGCUCAAAACAUACCUAUUGACAGUUCUUGGGAAUAGGGUCCAUUUUUGUAAGCCAUAUGCUGCUCUUAAAGAGAACUGGUGUAUUAUUGCUGAUCCCUUUUGCUGCACAGCCUGACUGAGGAACAUGAUUGUGUUCAUAAAUAAUAACUAAUAUUGUUGUGGAAUUUACAUUACUUAUAGAAAACUGCUAAACAAUAUUUCACAUUAUAGUUUUACCCCUGCAUCUUUAAAAAAUCUGCAGAAUGACUUUGCAUUUCUUUUUGUAAAUAAUUUAUGGUGUCUGUGUUUUUAUAAUAUGUAAUAUGAUACAUAAAACUGGUUUUUACAGAAAUAUUUUACUGAUGUUUAAUUAUUGCUGAGUUUCUUUUUAAAUGUCCUUUUUUUUAAAGGAAAACAAACUGAGGGGCCAGAUAUGUGCAGAACUCUAUUAAUUAAUUUACCACCCCGUCAAGUUAUAUUGUAAUACUGUUUAAUUCUACAGAGUCUAAGAGACUCAAGUUCUGAGAUGAUGUAGAGAUUUGUAAUUAUGUCUGUGUCAAACAGUCCUUGUGCAAGUACAAGAUGUCAAACAUUGAUGGAUCCUGUUAAUUUUUGUACGAUGCUGGGUUGUUUUUCUUAUCCAUACAAAUUAUAACAAAUAUUAAGAUACUUGUAUUUGAAUGAGCAUCCUACAUUAUGGUUGACUCUUGUAUACAUUGAUGUUAUUGCUGUUAUGGGUGAUUUUUUCCAGGUCUUCCUGACAUAAUGUGUUGUUCAUAUGCUUCAUUUCUCUGCAUAUGCAAACUCUUUCAUUUUUAGCUGUGCAUGAAUAUAUUUUAAGAUACUUGUGCUUGUGCAUGCAAAAUGAAAAUUCUGUGUGUGCUUGUGCAGGCAGUGCAGAGACUCAUGUCUACACAAUGAAUUAAUAAAAACACAUCUGCAUGCAUUUGUUCUUUACACAUUUGCACACAUACAAGUGCAUGUGUACACACAUAUCAACACUAGGAUGCGUGCAUGUUUGCACACACACACACUACCUUUUGCAUUCUAGAUUGGAUACAAAGAUGUGUAUGAUGAGAGAGAGAGGUUGUAGUUAAGAAUUAAUGUUUCUAUCAGCCAAUUUUUUAAUGCUUUUUUUUUCAUUCGCUUCAGCAUGCUUCCCUUUUGAGGAGGGCAACUGUUUUAUUGCUGAUCCUAAUGGUGUAAAUGGUUUUCUGCUUCCAUUACAAGGCAUGUGGUUUUAGGUUGCCAGUUUUUGCUUGGGCUGUAUUUUUUUUUGGCAGUUGCAGGCAGUCUGUGUAAGGCUUUUUUUUAAAAAGUUUGAUAAAAUUGUACAUGAAGCAGAUGUCCAGUGUCUCAAGGUGAUUAUGUCUGUGAAGACAGCUUCCAGUUCAUACAGUAUUGUUUGUGUUUUUAAUCAUUGUUCAUUGUGAUUGAUGCAUCCAAGCUCCAAUUUGUUAAAUUUAAUGUUUUUGUCUUGCAGACACCACAAAAGCAUAGUACAAAAAAAUUCAUGCAUGUGCACAUGGGCAUUGUAUGAAAAAUUUUGCAGGUGUGGAUGAAUGCAAGCACAUGUCUGCACAUCAGACAACUCCAGGAAAAAAGAAUGAAACAAAAUUGUGAAGAACAAAAAAAUGCCAUGAGCUGUAUUGAGUUGAAAAAAUAAAUGAAGACACUGCCAUAAAUUGUUUACACAUUGGAUUAGACCAUAGGAAUGCAGGCAAAGACUUUAAAAAAAUUCAUUGUUAUAAGGCUUCAGAAUCUGGGAAUUCCAACUGUUAGGAAAUCUAUACUCACCUGAUGGCUGUUGUCUAUAUUAAGCUUCAGCCACAUCCUUGCUAAACCCAUAUCUGACAGAUCACAGGGACAUAGUUAUUUACAGUGAUGCAAAUAACCAUGUGUAAGUUUAUGUGGGAUGGGUGGGGUGCAAACUGCACUUUAUUAAGGAUUUUGGAGACCCUGUAUGUUGUUUCAAAAUGUUGGAACAGGUUAGAGGAGGGCUUUGGUGGGGUAAUGAGACAGCAGUGUCAGCAGCUAAAACUGAAAGAUUGUUAUAUAUCAGCAACAGCCAACAGGGUACAGCUACUGCUGCUGUGGUGGUGGUGGUGGUGGUUUUGGUGAUGGGACCUACUGGAAUAAAGGGGGGAGUGGUUCAGCAUUUAGCCUGUUACAAAAGGGUACCCAAGUAAAUCACGUAUUUCAUGUCAUUUACAAUAUUUUUAGAUGCUGCCAACAUGAUAUACUUUUAUAUGCUGGUUCAGAUUUUAUGUUACACAUUUUUUCAUGAUUAGCUGUAUGAUAUCGAAAUUUCCCCUGAUCUGCAUAUUUUAUCAAUGUUGUGACAGUGAAGCCAUGUUUCUAUUUUUUACUUGUGUGGGAGAUGCAUAAAGCCCACUGUUUGCUAUAUUUCUCUAUUCGUAUCACAAUUUUCUGGUUUAUUUGUAUGUUACAACCUGUGACUUUUUUUUUGGUAUUUAGUAUUAAAUUUCAGUAUCAGUU